rnacentral:rRNA from 1 species
UACGUAGGAUCCUAGCGUUGUCCGGAUUUACUGGGUGUAAAGGGUGCGCAGGCGGACUUAUAAGUCAGUGGUGAAAUCUCGGCGCUUAACGCCGAAACUGCCUUUGAUACUAUAAGUCUUGAGUUUGGUAGAGAUCCGUGGAAUUCCGAGUGUAGCGGUGAAAUGCGCAGAUAUCAGGAGGAACACCGGUGGCGAAGGCGGGUCUCUGGGUAGUAACUGACGCUGAGGAACGAAAGCGUGGGUAGCGAACAGG